GUAUGAUUCCUGUCCUUCUAUGUUCCUCUUCCCUCCCCCAGCCAACUCCCUGCCUGAAGAGGAAGAAAAAGCAAUGCAGAGCAUCCAGAACUUUAAAUGACUGCAGCACAAAUACUCACCUGCCAAAUACUGACCCUGGACCCCAGGAAGCGGCCCACAGCCAAGCAGAUCCUUCAGCACCCAU
rnacentral:lncRNA from 1 species